UUAGCAGAAUAUGGACAAAGAUUUGCACAUAUCAGUAAUGGAAUCGCAGCUAUUGAUAGCAAAACUCUUUCCU